rnacentral:rRNA from 1 species
AGCGAACGCUGGCGGCAUGCUUAACACACGCAAGUCGAACGAUGGCUUCGGCCAUAGUGGCGCACGGGUGAGUAACGCGUGGGAACCUGCCCUUCGGUACGGAAUAACGCCGGGAAACUGACGCUAAUACCGUAUACGGUCUUCGGACGAAAGAUUUAUCGCCGAAGGAGGGGCCCGCGUCCGAUUAGGUAGUUGGUGAGGUGACGGCUCACCAAGCCUGCGAUCGGUAGCUGGUCUGAGAGGAUGAUCAGCCACACUGGGACUGAGACACGGCCCAGACUCCUACGGGAGGCAGCAGUGGGGAAUAUCGGACAAUGGGGGAAACCCUGAUCCAGCAAUGCCGCGUGAGUGAAGAAGGCCUUCGGGUUGUAAAGCUCUUUUGUCCGGGACGAUGAUGACGGUACCGGAAGAAUAAGCCCCGGCUAACUUCGUGCCAGCAGCCGCGGUAA